GUGUCAGCCGCCGCGGUAAUACGGAGGGUGCAAGCGUUGUUCGGAUUCAUUGGGCGUAAAGCGAGUGUAGGCGGUUUGACAAGUCGGAUGUGAAAUCCCGGGGCCCAACCCCGGAACUGCAUCCGAUACUGUCUGGCUAGAGUCCCGGAGAGGGUGGCGGAAUUCCCGGUGUAGGGGUGAAAUCCGUAGAUAUCGGGAGGAACACCAGUGGCGAAGGCGGCCACCUGGACGGUGACUGACGCUGAGACUCGAAAGCGUGGGUAGCAAACAGGAUUAGAAACCCCCGUAGUCC
rnacentral:rRNA from 1 species